UACGUAGGGUGCAAGCGUUAAUCGGAAUUAUUGGGCGUAAAGCGCGCGCAGGCGGUCCUUUAAGUCUGAUGUGAAAGCCCACGGCUCAACCGUGGAGGGUCAUUGGAAACUGGGGGACUUGAGUGCAGGAGAGAAGAGUGGAAUUCCACGUGUAGCGGUGAAAUGCGUAGAUAUCGAGAGGAACACCAGAGGUGAAGACGGGUUGCUGGGCUGACACUGACGCUGAGGCGCGAAAGCCAGGGGAGCAAACGGG
rnacentral:rRNA from 1 species